rnacentral:rRNA from 1 species
CGGAUGGGUGAGUAACACGUGGAUAACCUACCUAUAAGACUGGGAUAACUUCGGGAAACCGGAGCUAAUACCGGAUAAUAUAUUGAACCGCAUGGUUCAAUAGUGAAAGACGGUUUUGCUGUCACUUAUAGAUGGAUCCGCGCCGCAUUAGCUAGUUGGUAAGGUAACGGCUUACCAAGGCAACGAUGCGUAGCCGACCUGAGAGGGUGAUCGGCCACACUGGAACUGAGACACGGUCCAG